UCCUACGGGAGGCAGCAGUGGGGAAUAUUGGACAAUGGGCGAAAGCCUGAUCCAGCCAUGCCGCGUGUGUGAAGAAGGUCUUCGGAUUGUAAAGCACUUUAAGUUGGGAGGAAGGGUUGUAGAUUAAUACUCUGCAAUUUUGACGUUACCGACAGAAUAAGCACCGGCUAACUCUGUGCCAGCAGCCGCGGUAAUACAGAGGGUGCAAGCGUUAAUCGGAAUUACUGGGCGUAAAGCGCGCGUAGGUGGUUUGUUAAGUUGGAUGUGAAAUCCCCGGGCUCAACCUGGGAACUGCAUUCAAAACUGACUGACUAGAGUGUGGUAGAGGGUGGUGGAAUUUCCUGUGUAGCGGUGAAAUGCGUAGAUAUAGGAAGGAACACCAGUGGCGAAGGCGACCACCUGGACCAACACUGACACUGAGGUGCGAAA
rnacentral:rRNA from 1 species